UACGUAGGGGGCUAGCGUUGUCCGGAAUCAUUGGGCGUAAAGAGCGUGUAGGCGGCCCGGUAAGUCCGCUGUGAAAGUCGGGGGCUCAACCCUCGAAUGCCGGUGGAUACUGUCGGGCUAGAGUGCGGAAGAGGCGAGUGGAAUUCCUGGUGUAGCGGUGAAAUGCGUAGAUAUCUGGAGGAACACCGAUGGCGAAGGCAGCCUUCUGGGCCACAACUGACGCUGAGGUACGAAAGCGUGGGUAGCAAACAGG
rnacentral:rRNA from 1 species